GGGGGUGUAGCUCAGAUGGUAGAGCGCGCGCUUAGCAUGCGCAAGGUACCGGGAUCGAUACCCGGCACCUCCA
rnacentral:tRNA from 1 species